rnacentral:lncRNA from 1 species
CACGGCCCGCCCCCGACUAUAAAGGGAAUAGGGCGGCUUCCCAAGCUCCAGCACGCUUUCCUGCAGCUGCUCCGCCCGCUAGAUCUUUGCUGGGACCUCGACUCACUUCCAUUCGAAAUGGACCCCAACUGCUCCUGCGCCACCGGUAAGGCUCUCCGGCUUUCAAGGACUUCGGAAUUCCAUUUCUCAGCCCGUCCCCUUUGGUUGGGGGAGGGCACACCCUUAGUUCCGAGUGAAGUAGACUCCUUACUUUCCACUCCUUUCUCUCUGGCUAAGUGUCUUCAACAUCCUUUUGGAUCCCCCCCCCCCACCACCACCACCACGCAACAGCUGACCUCCCAUUUCAGAGUAACCACAGGGAGGUUCAAAGCCGCCCUGCUCCAUUAUCACCUUCCUGAGCUAGGUCUGGAAUCAGGGGCGCUCCUUCCCUGGGGAGAAAACACAGGGGGUGCCCGGUGCUUCCCAGCAGCAGUGUGGAGAAGAUGGGAUGACACUUCAGCGGUUCUCUGUGGGAGAGGAGCUGCCAGGGCUGGGUCAGCGUGGCCACGGUGAAGGAUGUCAGUGACAUCCCUCUGCUGGUUCUCCAGCAUCACACCCAUAGCUCCCUGCCUGUCUUUAAUCCUUUACAGGUGACUCCUGCACCUGUGCCGGCUCUUGCACAUGCAAAGAGUGCAAAUGCACCUCCUGCAAGAAGAGUGAGUUUGGGGACUUCCCUGGGAAGCUGGGCUGGCUGAGGCUGGGGGAGAACCCAGAGCUGGCUCCUGUGUAAGCCUCUGGGGAAUGGGUCUUCCUUUGCCUCCAGAGGUCAUUCCACUUCCUCUCCAGACUGAGCUCAGAUGAGCCAGAGCAGCCUUUUCUAUAGGGAUACAAACCCCAAAGUUGUUUCUUAUUGUCCCAGAAUGCAGCUGAGCUCUUAUAAUAACGUGGGCUGGGGAGGAGCCAGGUCUGCUGUGGGGCUAAGUCUGUUCUGACCUCUCACUCUUCGCAUUUUUCCCCAGGCUGCUGCUCCUGCUGCCCUGUGGGCUGUGCCAAGUGUGCCCAGGGGUGUGUCUGCAAAGGGGCAUCAGACAAGUGCAGCUGCUGCGCCUGAGGUGGAGUGAACCAUGCUCCCAUGUGUACAUAGAGCCCUGUGGGCAAACCUGGAUUUCCUAUUCUUGUAUCCAGACCUGUUUGAAUCAUCCCUUUUUCUACGAAGCAUGUGAAUGAUAAUAAAAUGUGUUUACUUGAUUUUUGACUCUGGUUUUCGUUGUGUG